rnacentral:lncRNA from 1 species
AGGCUGUGAGGUGAGCAGAGUCCAUAGCUGCUUUGCCUCUGCUCGUGCUGAGUAGCACACCUGCCGUGAGUGACUGACCAACUUGGCCAGGCACAGAGGGCAGGAGGGGAGGGGCCUCGGGGUGCAGGGGGUGACAGUGCUCAAAGGCUCCUGACUGUGGAGAGCUAAAGCUGCCAGGAGCUGCCUGUGCUUGCCAAGUGGUUGCAGAUGUUUCCUCCCUACUGCUCUGACUUUGCCAGGGUUUGUUGGUGUCUUGGGGUAAGAGGCUCUUCAGGCUGAAAGGUGAGCGGAGGCUGUCAGAAGCUGGGGAGAUCUGGGUCACCCAAAGCAAACAUGAGCCCUUACUCAGAUCUCACAGCAAAGACCACCCCUGGAUCUGUCCAUGCAGAGGCCCAGGUCUCUGGUGAGAAAGGCAGAGGGGAGGAUCAAGCAUGGAAACUGGAGGGGGAAAGAACAGAACUCACAGGGGUAGACCAUUGGCUCUAAGACACCCGCGCUUGGGCCUUAAUGUACAGCUCAGUUAAUCUUCACCUUUGCCCUGAGAGGUUAAAUUAUUAUCCCCAUUUUACAGGGGAGAAAACAAGCUGGGAGAGGAGGAAUGACUUGCUCAUGGUUGUGCAGCUAGUAGAAAAUUCUACCCUCUUGUGGUGGCACCAUUGUUUCCUAAUACAAAACAGAGUCCUACUUCAAGGAAGUGGAGAGAAAAGGGGUAGAUUUGUAUUUUCCCAAAGGAUAGAGCAGGUGUCCACAUAAUGACUCCAAGAGUCUAAGAACCUGGGUGUUGGGGAAGCUGACUUGCUGGCAGAAGCACACAGGCUUUGGAGUCAGUGUCUGCAGCCUUCUGGUUGGGGUAAUCUUGAGCAAGUCAUUUUACUUCCCUGAGUCUCAGUUUUCUCAUCUAUAAAAUAGGGGUAAUGAUACGCUAUUCUAUCUUCAUCAGAUUGUAAUGAGAAUUACAUGAGAUGCUGUGUGGGAAGCAUUUAACACGAGGCCUGGCAGAAUACUCUGCUGUGGUUGUCAUCUCUAGGGUUAGGAUAUAGGUCUCUUUGGUAUGAGAGAGCCACACUCAGGGAGAGUAAAUGGCAAGGUGUCCCCAGGGAGGAAAAGACCUGGACAGUGACCAAAGUUGCCUUGUGUUGCAAACAGUCUGUGGGGAGUUCUUUGUUUUCAUUCUUAUCCCACAGAGCUACUCCAUUUCUACACUCUCUAAUCACCUUUAAGCUUCAGAUAAACAACAGAAGAGUAGAGAGAACUGCCUGGCCCUUUUAAUCUCCUUGAAUCUCCACCCCACUCUCCUCCACAAUGCACUGGCCAUGGGAGGCCUUUGUUAGUUGGAAUGGCAGAAUGGCUUCCACUGCAUCUGGGAGGAUGCUGGGGCCUCCAGGUGGGCUGACUUCAGUAGCACCAAUACCAUGCUUCCAGGGGCAGUGCUGAAUUCUUAAAGCUCAUCCCUCAUCUCUUCCCUACUUUGUCCUGUUGCAGUCUGGCACACACACCAACCCCAUUGACCAUGACUUCCUUAAGGUCCCCACAGCUCCCUUAUCAAGUCUGGUGGACACAUCCUGCUCAGUCUUGACUAACUGGCCCUCUUAGUGCCUCUGGUGCUCUAUGCCUGCCUCUGCCUCAGAUGCUCCCCUUGGCACCCAUGUGAUUUGCUUCCUUUCCUCUUGCCGGGUCUUCCCUCUUCUCUAGGCUGCACCUCCUCAGUUGCCUCUGAGGGCUCCUCUGUCUCCGUGGCAUCCUCAUUAUGGCUGUAUCCAUGGCCUGGCCCUGGUCCCUACCUUCCUCACUCCACACCCUCUCCACCUUCUUCAGCCCAGAGCCUUGCUGCCUAGCUCCCCAGCUCCCCAGCUCCAGACCCACUGCUCUCUAGCCUUAGGACAGCUCCACUGGGAUGUCCCUAUGCCCUUCACACUCAGCCUGUGCAGAGAGGGACGGCCGAGACCCAGGCCUGCUCCUGCCACCUCCUUGCUCAAAACCCUCCAUCUACAAACACUUGAGAAAAUGAUUUGGCGUCACAUAUUCAAGUUGAACAUGCGCAUGCUCUCCAACCCACCAAGUCUACUCCUGGGAAUAUACCCAACAGGCAUGUGUACCAAAGACGCAUGCAAGGAUAUUCAGAGCACUAUGCAUAAUAGCCAAGAACUGGAGACCACCCAGUGCCCAUCAACAGACAGUGGCGGAUUCACACAAUGGAGUGCUACAAGCUACGGAGAUAGCUGCAAUAUUGAGAAAUCUCACAGACGUCCUGUUGAACAACAGAACACGACACAGUUCAUACUGUACACUUGCAUUUAUAAAGUUCAAAAAACAGGCAAAACAAACCUGUGGUACCAGAAGACAGGACAGUGGUCAGCCUUGGGGGCACAUAGUAACUGGCAGGGACCCGCAGGGGCUUCUGGGUGCUAGACGCCUGACAGAUUUUGAUCUGGAUGUUGGUUCCAUGGGUAUAUUCCUUGUGAAAAUUUACCAAGAUGCAUACUUAUGAUAGGUGAAUUUUUCUGUAUAUGUAUUACGCUUCAAUAAAAGGCUAAAAUAAAGAAAUAAAUAAAAUCUUCCAUGAGUCUUGAUUGCAUUCAAGAUAAAACCUGCA